AAUUGUGCGCUCUCUCUCAAAUCUCACUCUAUCUACCUGUGCACACUUGGUAGGCAAAUAGAAAAGGAAACUUAGUUUCCAUCUUUUGCUUAUUGCCUUUUUACACACACUAUUGAAUGUCAUGAAUGUAAUUGAAAUAAAUGUAACAACUUUCAACAAUGGAUCUCUUGGUUCUCGCAUCGAUGAAGAACGCAGCGAAUUGCGAUAUGUAAUGUGAAUUGCAGAAUUCAGUGAAUCAUCGAAUCUUUGAACGCAUAUUGCACCCUCUGGGUAUUCCAGAGGGUAUGCCUGUUUGAGUGUCAUUCUUAUCUCAAGGCAAAGGGAGCUUUUUGUUUCCUUUGCAUUUGGAUGUUGAAGGAUUUGCUGGCCCCUCAUGCUAGCUCCUUUUAAAUGCAUUAGCAGGACUUUGCAGGACUAGCUUCAGUUUGAUACAUUUUGGUUAUCUGAGCUGUUGCAAGGAAUUGCAUCAUGGUCUUGCUUCAUAAACUGUCCCACUUUGCGGGACUUGUCUUCUGGACAAAUUAUAUCAAACUUGACCUCAAAUCAGGUAGGACUACCCGCUGAACUUAAGCAUAUCAAUAAGCGGAGGAAAAGAAACUAACAAGGAUUCCCCUAGUAACUGCGAGUGAAGAGGGAAAAGCUCAAAUUUAAAAUCUGGCAGUUCUAUUGGCUGUCCGAGUUGUAAAUUGGAGAAGUGUUAUCCGCGUUGGCCUGUGCAAA
rnacentral:rRNA from 1 species